rnacentral:lncRNA from 1 species
GGCUUAGAGAGAAGGCAUCGCUACAUCAAAGAAUUCAACAUGAGGACACUGGCUAGGGGCUUAGCUUCUGAGCAGAAACACAAGAGAAACUGUCGUCUUGUGGUUCACGUGUUAUGAGAAAAGGCUGUGCUGGAAACACUGGAAAUCACAGUGUUUGUGAAGAACUGAUGUUGAAGGUGGAAGUAAAUAAAGGUGAAGAGAGGCCCAUUUUACCUUUUCCAACUUUAACCACUACAAGUAAGAGAGAAUGCAAGAGUGGAAAACAAUACCUCUGACUCUGUCUUGAAUAAUCUCCCCAGGAUCUCAUCUUUGGCAGGUUACCAACAUCCUGUAUUUCCUACCAACUCAGCUGUUAGUAAAAUGAACAGGAGACCAAGUGCUAUUAAUUCCUACAAGACUCAGC